rnacentral:rRNA from 1 species
AAUAGAUACCCCGGUAGUCCACGCCGUAAACGAUGAGUGCUAAGUGUUGGGGGGUUUCCGCCCUCAGUGCUGCAGCUAACGCAUUAAGCACUCCGCCUGGGGAGUACGGUCGCAAGACUGAAACUCAAAGGAAUUGACGGGGGCCCGCACAAGCGGUGGAGCAUGUGGUUUAAUUCGAAGCAACGCGAAGAACCUUACCAGGUCUUGACAUCCCGGUGACCACUAUGGAGACAUAGUUUCCCCUUCGGGGCAACGGUGACAGGUGGUGCAUGGUUGUCGUCAGCUCGUGUCGUGAGAUGUUGGGUUAAGUCCCGCAACGAGCGCAACCCUUAUUCUUAGUUGCCAUCAUUCAGUUGGGCACUCUAAGGAGACUGCCGGUGAUAAACCGGAGGAAGGUGGGGAUGACGUCAAAUCAUCAUGCCCCUUAUGACCUGGGCUACACACGUGCUACAAUGGACGGUACAAACGGUUGCCAACCCGCGAGGGGAGCUAAUCCGAUAAAACCGUUCUCAGUUCGGAUUGUAGGCUGCAACUCGCCUACA